AUACGGAGGGUGCAAGCGUUACUCGGAAUCACUGGGCGUAAAGCGCGCGCAGGCGGUCUUUUAAGUUGGAUGUGAAAGCCUACGGCUCAACCGUAGAACUGCAUCCAAAACUAUUAGACUAGAGUGUGGGAGAGGAAGAUGGAAUUAGUUGUGUAGGGGUGAAAUCCGUAGAGAUAACUAGGAAUACCAAAAGCGAAGGCAAUCUUCUGGAACACUACUGACGCUGAGGCGCGAAAGCGUGGGGAGCAAACAGGAUUAGAAACCCUUGUAGUCC
rnacentral:rRNA from 1 species